rnacentral:rRNA from 1 species
AUUGAACGCUGGCGGCAUGCCUUACACAUGCAAGUCGAACGAAGUCUUCGGACUUAGUGGCGGACGGGUGAGUAACACGUGGGAACGUACCUUUUGGUUCGGAACAACUCAGGGAAACUUGAGCUAAUACCGGAUGAGCCCUUAGGGGAAAAGAUUUAUCGCCGAAAGAGCGGCCCGCGUUAGAUCAGCUAGUUGGUGAGGUAAAGGCUCACCAAGGCUACGAUCUAUAGCUGGUCCGAGAGGAUGAUCAGCCACACUGGGACUGAGACACGGCCCAGACUCCUACGGGAUGCAGCAGUGGGGAAUCUUGCGCAAUGGGCGAAAGCCUGACGCAGCCAUGCCGCGUGAAUGAUGAAGGUCUUAGGAUUGUAAAAUUCUUUUACCAGGGACGAUAAUGACGGUACCUGGAGAAAAAGCCCCGGCUAACUUCGUGCCAGCCGCCGCGGUAAAAC